rnacentral:rRNA from 1 species
UUCACUGAGCAUGUGCUCGAUCCAUAACUAUUUAUCUUCUCUUGUGCACCUUUUGUAGUCUUUCAGAGCAGGUGAUAACUCUCGCAGCAAUGCGGUUUGGGGGACUUGGGCGUGAGCCCUUCCCCUGCGUUUGCUUCUUUGGAGGGCUAUGUUUUCAUAUACACUAUAAAGUUACAGAAUGUCUUUUAAAGAUUGUGCUAGUCGCAGUCAUUAAACCUAUACAACUUUCAGCAACGGAUCUCUUGGCUCUCCCAUCGAUGAAGAACGCAGCGAAAUGCGAUAAGUAAUGUGAAUUGCAGAAUUCAGUGAAUCAUCGAAUCUUUGAACGCACCUUGCGCCCUUUGGUAUUCCGAAGGGCAUGCCUGUUUGAGUGUCAUUAAAUUCUCAACCCAAAAAGCUUUUACGAGCUCUUUUGUGGCUUGGAUGUGGGGGUUUUUGCUGGCUUCCUUCAGUGGAUGGUCUGCUCCCCUUAAAUGCAUUACUGGGAUCUCUUGUGGACCGUCACUUGGUGUGAUAAUUAUCUAUGCCAGUUGACUUUGAAGCAAAACUUAUGGGAANCCCGCUCAUAACCGUCUUCGNACAACUUAUUGACAUUUUGACCUCAAAUCAGGUAGACUACCCGCUGAACUAAGCAUUC